rnacentral:rRNA from 1 species
CCUACGGGGGGCAGCAGUGGGGAAUAUUGCACAAUGGGGGAAACCCUGAUGCAGCGACGCCGCGUGAGCGAAGAAGUAUUUCGGUAUGUAAAGCUCUAUCAGCAGGGAAGAAGAAAGUGACGGUACCUGACUAAGAAGCUCCGGCUAAAUACGUGCCAGCAGCCGCGGUAAUACGUAUGGAGCAAGCGUUAUCCGGAUUUACUGGGUGUAAAGGGAGCGUAGGCGGUGCUAUAAGUCUGAUGUGAAAGCCCGGGGCUCAACCGCGGGACUGCAUUGGAAACUGUAGGACUGGAGUGUAGGAGGGGUAAGUGGAAUUCCUAGUGUAGCGGUGAAAUGCGUAGAUAUUAGGAGGAACACCGGUGGCGAAGGCGGCUUACUGGACGACAACUGACGCUGAGGCUCGAAAGCGUGGGGAGCAAACAGGAUUAGAUACCCCGGUAGUC